rnacentral:lncRNA from 1 species
ACCGUCGGCUGUAUAACAAUCGGUUUUUCACAAGUUUUCUUCGAGGCCUUUCACUGCUACUGUUAAGGUAAACGACCAAUUUUAUUUUUUAAACUUCCUACAGUACAUGACUCAGAAUAUUCAUAUUAAUUCUUAAUACUUUAUAACAUUGCGAAAUCACUGUCCAAAAGUGAUUGCUAAGAGCGGUCGUAAUCAAUGUAAUGUUAUUUUUCGUUGAAGUAAGUAAAAAAGGCACUUUUCAGCUGAAGACUUCGAUUUCUGUCGUUAAGAAUUGGUACUGACCAGCAAGAAAGUUCUUUGCUUGUUCACUGCCGUAGACAUAACCAGGGGGAAGUUGAUAUGUGUGUCCAAAAUUGCUGUUGGAAUGAUUAACUUGAGGAUUGUUAUAAAUGAUCAGAUCAAAAUCAUGAUUUCCACCAAAGAUUGGUCCAUAACCAGGGUAACAGUAGAU